rnacentral:rRNA from 1 species
UACGUAGGGUGCGAGCGUUGUCCGGAAUUACUGGGCGUAAAGAGCUCGUAGGUGGUUUGUCGCGUUGUUCGUGAAAACUCACAGCUUAACUGUGGGCGUGCGGGCGAUACGGGCAGGCUAGAGUUCGGUAGGGGAGACUGGAAUUCCUGGUGUAGCGGUGAAAUGCGCAGAUAUCAGGAGGAACACCGGUGGCGAAGGCGGGUCUCUGGGCCGAUACUGACGCUGAGGAGCGAAAGCGUGGGGAGCGAACAGG